GGGUUGUGAGGUUAAGCGACUAAGCGUACACGGUGGAUGCCCUGGCAGUCAGAGGCGAUGAAGGGCGUACUAAUCUGCGAUAAGCGCCGGUAAGGUGAUAUGAACCGUUAUAACCGGCGAUACCCGAAUGGGGAAACCCAGUGUGAUUCGUCACACUAUCAUUAACUGAAUCCAUAGGUUAAUGAGGCGAACCGGGGGAACUGAAACAUCUAAGUACCCCGAGGAAAAGAAAUCAACCGAGAUUCCCCCAGUAGCGGCGAGCGAACGGGGAGGAGCCCAGAGCCUGAAUCAGCAUGUGUGUUAGUGGAAGCGUCUGGAAAGGCGCGCGAUACAGGGUGACAGCCCCGUACACAAAAGCGCAUGUGCUGUGAGCUCGAUGAGUAGGGCGGGACACGUGGUAUCCUGUCUGAAUAUGGGGGGACCAUCCUCCAAGGCUAAAUACUCCUGACUGACCGAUAGUGAACCAGUACCGUGAGGGAAAGGCGAAAAGAACCCCGGCGAGGGGAGUGAAAAAGAACCUGAAACCGUGUACGUACAAGCAGUGGGAGCACCCUUUGGGUGUGACUGCGUACCUUUUGUAUAAUGGGUCAGCGACUUAUAUUCUGUA
rnacentral:rRNA from 2 species